rnacentral:tRNA from 1 species
GGGGCUUUAGCUCAAUGGCAUAAGCACCUGCCUUGCAAGCAGGCAGUUGUGAGUUCGAAUUCUAGUACCA